rnacentral:rRNA from 1 species
UCGGAGUGCUUGCACUCUGUGAAACAAGAUACAGGCUAGCGGCGGACGGGUGAGUAACACGUGGGUAACCUGCCCAAGAGAUCGGGAUAACACCUGGAAACAGAUGCUAAUACCGGAUAACAACAGAUGAUGCCUAUCAACUGUUUAAAAGAUGGUUCUGCUAUCACUCUUGGAUGGACCUGCGGUGCAUUAGCUAGUUGGUAGGGUAACGGCCUACCAAGGCGAUGAUGCAUAGCCGAGUUGAGAGACUGAUCGGCCACAUUGGGACUGAGACACGGCCCAAACUCCUACGGGAGGCAGCAGUAGGGAAUCUUCCACAAUGGACGCAAGUCUGAUGGAGCAACGCCGCGUGAGUGAAGAAGGGUUUCGGCUCGUAAAGCUCUGUUGUUGGUGAAGAAGGACAGGGGUAGUAACUGACCUUUGUUUGACGGUAAUCAAUUAGAAAGUCACGGCUAACUACGUGCCAGCAGCCGCGGUAAUACGUAGGUGGCAAGCGUUGUCCGGAUUUAUUGGGCGUAAAGCGAGUGCAGGCGGCUCGAUAAGUCUGAUGUGAAAGCCUUCGGCUCAACCGGAGAAUUGCAUCAGAAACUGUCGAGCUUGAGUACAGAAGAGGAGAGUGGAACUCCNNNNGUAGCGGUGAAAUGCGUAG